UGAUCGAACAGGUCACUUGGUUCUGAUGGGGAUCAGUCAUCAGAGGUAACGGGGAAAGUUCGGUGUAAAUCCGGCACUGUCCCGCAACUGUGAAGCAAUUUGAGAUGUGCAAGAUUUUGUAGUCGCAAUUUCUCAAUUGUGUAAGUCAGAACGCCCACCAAAGUUGAUUGUUUUGU
rnacentral:ncRNA from 2 species